rnacentral:rRNA from 1 species
AGGACGAACGCUGGCGGCGUGCUUAACACAUGCAAGUCGAGCGGAAAGGCCCUUCGGGGUACUCGAGCGGCGAACGGGUGAGUAACACGUGAGUAAUCUGCCCCUAGCUCUGGGAUAGCUCCGGGAAACCGGGAUUAAUACCAGAUACGACCACUUUAGACAUCUGUUGUGGUGGAAAGAAUUUCGGCUAGGGAUGAGCUCGCGGCCUAUCAGCUUGUUGGUGAGGUAACGGCUCACCAAGGCGACGACGGGUA